UUGUUUGAACCGCAUGGUUCAGACAUAAAAGGUGGCUUCGGCUACCACUUACAGAUGGACCCGCGGCGCAUUAGCUAGUUGGUGAGGUAACGGCUCACCAAGGCGACGAUGCGUAGCCGACCUGAGAGGGUGAUCGGCCACACUGGGACUGAGACACGGCCCAGACUCCUACGGGAGGCAGCAGUAGGGAAUCUUCCGCAAUGGACGAAAGUCUGACGGAGCAACGCCGCGUGAGUGAUGAAGGUUUUCGGAUCGUAAAGCUCUGUUGUUAGGGAAGAACAAGUGCCGUUCAAAUAGGGCGGCACCUUGACGGUACCUAACCAGAAAGCCACGGCUAACUACGUGCCAGCAGCCGCGGUAAUACGUAGGUGGCAAGCGUUGUCCGGAAUUAUUGGGCGUAAAGGGCUCGCAGGCGGUUUCUUAAGUCUGAUGUGAAAGCCCCCGGCUCAACCGGGGAGGGUCAUUGGAAACUGGGGAACUUGAGUGCAGAAGAGGAGAGUGGAAUUCCACGUGUAGCGGUGAAAUGCGUAGAGAUGUGGAGGAACACCAGUGGCGAAGGCGACUCUCUGGUCUGUAACUGACGC
rnacentral:rRNA from 1 species